GCACAAGCGGAGGAACAUGUGGUUUAAUUCGAUGAUACGCGAGGAACCUUACCUGGGCUUAAAUGUAGAGUGCAUUUUUUAGAGAUAGAAAUUCCCUUCGGGCUUUCUGCAAGGUGCUGCAUGGUUGUCGUCAGCUCGUGCCGUGAGGUGUCGGGUUAAGUCCCAUAACGAGCGCAACCCUUAUCGUUAGUUGCCAUCUGGUAAUGCAGGGGACUCUAGCGAAACUGCCACCGUAAGGUGAGAGGAAGGUGGGGAUGACGUCAAAUCAGCACGGCCCUUAUGUCCAGGGCUACACACGUGUUACAAUGGUCGGUACAGAGGGCAGCUACCUGGUGACAGGAUGCUAAUCUCGAAAACCGGUCUCAGUUCGGAUCGAAGUCUGCAACUCGACUUCGUGAAGCUGGAUUCGCUAGUAAUCGCGCAUCAGCUAUGGCGCGGUGAAUACGUUCCCGGGCCUU
rnacentral:rRNA from 1 species